GUUCCUUCCGUGCAACACGGACACUCCGGACAAAGACGUGAGGCUGUGUCUGUGCCCAGACAUGCCUCUGCAGCGACAAGGCUGCAGGCAAUCACGGAUCAGCGCACCCGGACCUAAUGAGAGGGAGCGGCAUAAAGACCAGCGGACCCAAGGAACCUUUGCCGGGACGUCGCUCAUCUUCCCAUGUCUUCCCCGUCGUCUGUGAUCAUGUUUUGCUUCACGACAUCCAUCCGGAUCUCUGACUGCCUUCCUCGAUCCCUGCUCGGACACGGACUACGCUCCCAGUCUCCUACCCUCGACUGCUUGCCUUCUUACGGACUGCCUCUUCGCCUUGCCCCGUUGAUUCGACGAAAGAUCCAUUCUACACUCACAGACAACAAACCCUGGUAAUACUUACACGGUUAAUUCUAUACAUCGUCUACACGUAUUCACUUUGGUAGGGCGGUAUAGCUCGGUUGGUAGAGCGGCCGUGCCAGCAACUUGAGGGUUGCAGGUUCGAUCCCCGCUUCCGCCAUCCUAGUCACUGCAGUUGUGUCCUUGGGCAAGAUACUUUACCCACCUGCUCCCAGUGCCACACACACUGGUUUAAAUGUAACUUAGAUAUUGGGUUUCACUAUGUAAAGCGCUUUGAGUCACUUGAGAAAAAAAAGUGCUAUAUAAAUGUAAUUCACUUCACUUCACUUCACUUAUACUAGCAUACACACUCCACUCACUCA